rnacentral:misc_RNA from 1 species
AACAAGGCGUACCUGCGGACCUGCGGAGGGAUCAUUACUGAGUCACGUGCUCAAACAACCCUUCUGUGGACCUGAAAUAAAACCGUUGCCUCGGCGGGCGGUCCCCCCCAAACCAACCCCACGUGGUGGGUUAGGGGAGACCAGACAGUCCGGUACGCUUAAGGCGUCCGGUGCCAGCCGCUGGCCCCAAACAAUUAAACUCUAGUAAUCUUUACCUUCUGAGUUUCAAUAUUUAAAAAU